AUUUGGACCACCUCCUCCUUCUCCUUGUUCAUGAUUCUCCUAUUUAUAUGCCCUUCGCUGCUUUUACCAUUCUGACUUCCGCCUCCUCUGGAUCUCUCCCUUCUUAUUUUCCUCCUUCUUCCCCUUCCAUUCUCAUUUCCCUUCCACAUCAAUUUCCAUGGCUGACCAGCUCACCGACGAUCAGAUCUCCGAGUUCAAGGAGGCCUUCAGCCUCUUCGACAAGGACGGCGAUGGUUGUAUCACCACCAAGGAGCUUGGGACUGUGAUGAGG
rnacentral:misc_RNA from 1 species